UCAGCAGUCCAAAAUAUUAGUCAAUGCUCGAAAGAGUGAACUAGCUAACUGAAAUCAAUAAAAUAAUUGAUAACAUAAGGGAAAAUAAUGAUAUUACCUUAUUAUUAGUGUCGUCCAAAACUGGUGCCAGAAGACUCGGUAAGGCCAGAGACACAAACGUUAAUCGUCUUAAUCAGGCGUAAAGGGUUUGUAGGCGGCUUUAAAAUUUACUAAAAAAUAAAUAAUAAGUAAAAAAUAAAAGCUAGAAUCAAAUAGAGGAUAUAUGAAAUAAUGUUUAGAGUAGGUCUGAUAUCCUUAGAUACUAAGUAGAAUAUUAAAGGCGAAAGCUUUUUUCCAUUAAUGAUUGACGCUCAGAAACGAAAGUGAGGAUAGGAAAUAGGAUUAGAUACCCAAAAUACUCCUCUCUGUCAACGAUGAAUGGUAAUUAUUAGUAUAACUUAUUAAUAAUAAUGUUAACACGAUAACCAUUCCGCCUUGUGAGUACAACUGCAAAGUUGAAAACAAAAAAAUUAGUCGGUUUCGGAGCAAACGAAGUGAAGCAUGUUAUUUAAUUCAAUAAAUCCGCAA
rnacentral:rRNA from 1 species